CAUGCAAGUCGAGCGAACGGACGAGAAGCUUGCUUCUCUGAUGUUAGCGGCGGACGGGUGAGUAACACGUGGAUAACCUACCUAUAAGACUGGGAUAACUUCGGGAAACCGGAGCUAAUACCGGAUAAUAUUUUGAACCGCAUGGUUCAAAAGUGAAAGACGGUCUUGCUGUCACUUAUAGAUGGAUCCGCGCUGCAUUAGCUAGUUGGUAAGGUAACGGCUUACCAAGGCAACGAUGCAUAGCCGACCUGAGAGGGUGAUCGGCCACACUGGAACUGAGACACGGUCCAGACUCCUACGGGAGGCAGCAGUAGGGAAUCUUCCGCAAUGGGCGAAAGCCUGACGGAGCAACGCCGCGUGAGUGAUGAAGGUCUUCGGAUCGUAAAACUCUGUUAUUAGGGAAGAACAUAUGUGUAAGUAACUGUGCACAUCUUGACGGUACCUAAUCAGAAAGCCACGGCUAACUACGUGCCAGCAGCCGCGGUAAUACGUAGGUGGCAAGCGUUAUCCGGAAUUAUUGGGCGUAAAGCGCGCG
rnacentral:rRNA from 1 species